GACAGAGGUGCCAAGCGUUAGGCGGAAUCACUGGGCUUAAAGCGUGUGUAGGCGGAAUUGUAAGUACCUUGUGAAAUCCCACGGCUCAACCGUGGAACUGCUCGGUAUACUGCUUUUCUUGAGCCACUUAGGGGCUGUCGGAACAAACGGUGGAGCGGUGAAAUGCGUAGAUAUCAGGAGGAACACCGGUGGCGAAGGCGGUUCUCUGGGCAUUACCUGACGCUGAGGAGCGAAAGUGUGGGGAGCGAACAGG
rnacentral:rRNA from 1 species